CAGCUGCGUCCGCCGCUGUCCUGUCUGGCCGCCCCGGUGUCUGCUCCGCACUCUUCCCCGCUCCCUCCCCGGACCCGAAGCCUUCCCUGCCAGCCCGCCUCCCUAGUUUCCACCGCUCCGGCUCCCGCGAGAACCCCGCCGCCCGGUGAAUGCACCAGCGCGCCCCCACCGGUGAAAACAACAUGACGGGCAUCGCCGCCGCUUCCUUCUUCUCCAAUUCCUGCAGGUUCGGAGGCUGCGGGCUCCAGUUCGAGUCUCUCGCCGAGCUCAUCGUUCACAUCGAGGACAAUCACAUCGACACAGAUCCUCGGGUCCUGGAGAAGCAGGAGCAACAGCAGCCCACCUACUUGGCCCUCAGCUACAUCAACAGGUUCAUGACGGACGCUGCGCGGCGGGAACAGGAGACCAUGAAGAAGAAGGCCACGCCCAAACUGUCACUGUCCAUCACGGGCGCAGUGUCGAGGAACAGCACGGCCACGCCCCCUCGCCACACCAGCGGCAACCUGACGCCGCCGGUCACGCCCCCCAUCACUCCCUCCUCCUCCUUCCGCAGCAGCACGCCGACAGGUAUGACAGGCAGCGAGUACGACGAAGAGGAGGUCGACUACGAGGAGUCGGACAGCGACGAGUCGUGGACCACUGAAAGUGCCAUCAGCUCUGAGUCCAUCCUCAGUUCCAUGUGCAUGAACGGCGGGGAAGAGAAGCCGUUUGCAUGCCCAGUGCCGGGCUGCAAGAAGAGAUACAAGAACGUGAACGGCAUCAAGUACCACGCCAAGAAUGGCCACCGCACGCAGAUCCGCGUGAGGAAGCCGUUUAAGUGCCGCUGCGGGAAGAGCUACAAGACGUCGCAGGGCCUGAGGCACCACACCAUCAACUUCCACCCGCCAGUCUCCACCGAGAUUCUGCGUAAGAUUCAAGGCUAGACCUGAAAAGGCCUCGCGGUCUGCUACCCCAAAAUGUUACCCUUAAAAGUUCCUCACCUGACACUAAAGUGCAUGCUUUAAGUUCUUUUUACAUUAUUAUUUCCUUUUUCUAUCAUCUUAAAUCACUCGUAUUUCCAAAAGUAUAUCUUUGUAUUUUUUUUAUUGUACAUUUGCACAUUUCGUAUAUGCUAUCAUUUGUUUUUCUCGGUUUGACUUGCAUAAGGUGCUAAAGAAAGUUGGCAGGAAGUGAGAGACAGGAAGUGCAACCAAGCCGGCCCCCGCACGAUGAUUAAGUUACCUUCCGGUCUCCGAUCCAAACCAGGAAGUGUGUUCACUCCUUUUGCUUUGUUUACUGACUUUGGAUCGGCGGCCUCACGGGAACUUCUGGGGUUCUGCGUCACUCCUGUGGAGCAGGAGGGACAGCGGUGGUGUUGCCCUCUUACAAGGAUUCAAAUAGUCACUCAUUGCCUCUUUGGGGGGGUCAAAAGACAUUAUCCACAUGAUCAGCAAGACCAUUGUGUUUGUGAUGGGUCCAGUAAUAUUACAAGGAUUCAAAUAGUCACUCAUUGCCUCUUUGGGGGGGUCAAAAGACAUUAUCCACAUGAUCAGCAAGACCAUUGUGUUUGUGAUGGGUCCAGUAAUAUUUGCACUCAUCCUCCAUUCUUUUGUGCAUUAUUAAGUCUCCAUGGUAACAACUCCUAACACAGGCCAAUGGCAGUAUUACACGUGGAGGUGGUGGGUGGGUGCAACCCACAAACGCCAGAGUCCCAUAUUUACAAUGUACAGUGAAUGUAUCGUAAUGUGUCCUUUUGUCAAGUGCUUUUAAAUUAUAUUUUCUUAUGUAAUGUGGACAUGAGUGUUUUGUAUCGGGGAGGGAGGGGAUGUACUGUCUUUCUAUAUAAAAGAGAAGCUGCUUCAAUGUAAACAGGUGCCUGCCUGGGUGAGAAAAAAAAAAAGAAAGAAGCAAAAAUAAAGACUGACUGUCAUGUUGUGCUUUCUUGGAAUUUUCUUUUUUUUUUUUAUACUCAAGUCACUUGCGCUUGGACAAGUUCAUUUAUUCAUCAAGAUCCCUGCCAUUCACACACUGGCCUUGUGAUUGGUAUGCAAUUUGUAAAGCUUGAAUAAACAACACCGUCAGAGCUCACGGAAUGACAGCAGUGAUGCAGAUAACACGUAGAUGACAUUCAUUCAUCAGGUCCAACAUGGAUACAGAGCAAUUGCUGUGAUUUUCAUGAGAACAUGAAAUAUGGACAUACAUGACCAUUACGUUUGAAUGAAAAACAGUUUGAGCAUUUACACCCUAUCUUUAAUAUCCAGCUUAAGGUCCAUGUGCCAGUACCCUAUUUGUCCUCAUAGAUCCAGCUUAAGGUCCAUGUACUAGUACCCCAUUUCUCCUCGGUAGUAAGACAAUUCAAGAUGAAUGUCAUACCUUUUUUCAACUACAAGUGCCGCUUUUUUCAACUACAAGUACUAUUUUGAAAUUAAACCUUACUGUUAAAUUACUGUGCUGCACUAGUUACACUACUGGACCCAACUAGUAGAUGUGUCACGCACAAGUAGCCUUCUGGAACCUACUAGUAGCACCGAAAUGCCCACAAGUAGUUUUGCCUCCUAGUAACAUGUAAUAGUCGUCCUACUAGCGUGUACAAAUAUCAUACAGUAGUAGUAAUGGAAAAAAAUAUUAGUAACCUGUGUCAUUCUCCUACUGCGCCCUGCUUGUUCUACGAGUGUGCUAAAUUGUCUUACUAGUGAGGACAAAGAGUGUGCUAGUACAUGAACCUUUCACUAGAUAUCAAAUAAACGCCCAUCUUAAGAUCCAUGUACUAGUACGGUGCAUUGUCCUCACUCACACCAAAAUGCCCACACGUAGUUUUUCUUCACUAGAAACAUAGUUGUCCAAUCAAUGUGCAGAAAUGUCAUGGAAUAGUGCAGUGGUUCUCAAACCUUUGACUGCAAGUACCAACUAAAAAAAAAAUAUUCAAGUACUACCAUAAUGACCAACAUUAAAAUGCAGUAGCGUAGUAGGCCUAACUGUUAAUCAAAAACAAUAAUUAUUUUUUUAUUCCUAAAGUAUUUCAUAUUAUUCUAAGUCACUGUAACAUUACGCAGUUUUAACAUUAACACACUGCGCUUAAAUAUAGGAAAAUAAAAAAAUCUGCCAAUGGAAAUAAUAUGAUUUGACUUGAUAAGAUCCUUAAACUAAGCUCUCGUAUCUUAAAACAAGGCUGAAAA